AUGAAAACAGGACAAACAGUGAAAUAUAAAAAUGCUGAAAGUGGUGAACAGUGUGUUGCAAAGGUUACUGGACGCGCUGGAAAGGCAACAGGAAGUAAUAAAAACUGGUUUAACCUGCAAUACUUGGAACCUAUCACACUUAAAGGAGCAGAAAUUUCAGUUGACAUGAGUAAGUUAAAGGAAUUAGAAAAUGUUGCUACAGAAGUAGAACUUCCUAGUUCUGAUGACGAUAGUGUUAUGAUUUUUGAAGAUGUAUCAUUCAGGGAAGCUAAACUAAAAGAACUAAAUUCAUGGAAAAACAACAGUGUUUGUGAAGAAUGCACAGAUACCGGUCAAAAGUGUAUUUCUACGAGAUGGAUAUGUAGUUUGAAGAAGGAACAAUACAUAAGGCAAGAUUAGUUGCGAGAGGAUUUGAAGAAUUUAACAGAGAUGAUAUACCGAAAGAUUCACCCACUUGUGGAACAGAUUCCCUAAGAUUAGUUCUAGCUAUUCUAGCUCAAAGAAGUUGGAAAACACGAACAAUGGACAUUAAAACUGCUUUUUUACAAGGAGCUGAAAUAGAAAGAAAGAUUUAUGUCAAACCACCAAUGGAAGCUCAGUGCAAAGAUAUUAUCUGGAAACUUCGCAAAUGUGUCUAUGGUCUGUCAGAUGCCUCUCUUAGUUGGUAUAAUAGAGUAAAAGAAGUUCUUGAACAAUGUAAAGUCAGUGUAUCCAAGGUUGACCCAGCUGUAUUUUUCUGGAAAAACAAUAAAGGCAGCGUAGAAGGAGUACUUACUUGUCAUGUUGAUGACUUUUUAUGGGGCGGAUCAAAAGAAUUUGAAGAGAAAGUUAUAAAUAGCAUAAGAUCAACAUUUUGUGUUGGAAAAGAAGAAUUAGAGGAAAACGGGUCAUUCCCAUAUGUUGGAAUAGAAUUAUCAAAACAUGAAAAUGACUUGCAUUUAAGACAAAACACUUAUCAAAAUAGUCUCAAGUUUAUACCUAUUGAAAAAAGUCGUAUGGGAGUCAAAGAAGAACUUCUUAUCAAAGAAGAAAGAGAACUUUUACAAUCUAAAAUUGACAAAUACUUUGGAUUGCAAGACAAAGUCGACCAGAUGUGA
rnacentral:sRNA from 1 species